GCGGGACACGUGGUAUCCUGUCUGAAUAUGGGGGGACCAUCCUCCAAGGCUAAAUACUCCUGACUGACCGAUAGUGAACCAGUACCGUGAGGGAAAGGCGAAAAGAACCCCGGCGAGGGGAGUGAAAAAGAACCUGAAACCGUGUACGUACAAGCAGUGGGAGCCUCUUAAUGGGGUGACUGCGUACCUUUUGUAUAAUGGGUCAGCGACUUAUAUUCUGUAGCAAGGUUAACCGAAUAGGGGAGCCGAAGGGAAACCGAGUCUUAACUGGGCGUUAAGUUGCAGGGUAUAGACCCGAAACCCGGUGAUCUAGCCAUGGGCAGGUUGAAGGUUGGGUAACACUAACUGGAGGACCGAACCGACUAAUGUUGAAAAAUUAGCGGAUGACUUGUGGCUGGGGGUGAAAGGCCAAUCAAACCGGGAGAUAGCUGGUUCUCCCCGAAAGCUAUUUAGGUAGCGCCUCGUGAAUUCAUCUCCGGGGGUAGAGCACUGUUUCGGCAAGGGGGUCAUCCCGACUUACCAACCCGAUGCAAACUGCGAAUACCGGAGAAUGUUAUCACGGGAGACACACGGCGGGUGCUAACGUCCGUCGUGAAGAGGGAAACAACCCAGACCGCCAGCUAAGGUCCCAAAGUCAUGGUUAAGUGGGAAACGAUGUGGGAAGGCCCAGACAGCCAGGAUGUUGGCUUAGAAGCAGCCAUCAUUUAAAGAAAGCGUAAUAGCUCACUGGUCGAGUCGGCCUGCGCGGAAGAUGUAACGGGGCUAAACCAUGCACCGAAGCUGCGGCAGCGACACUAUGUGUUGUUGGGUAGGGGAGCGUUCUGUAAGCCUGUGAAGGUGGCCUGUGAGGGGUGCUGGAGGUAUCAGAAGUGCGAAUGCUGACAUAAGUAACGAUAAAGCGGGUGAAAAGCCCGCUCGCCGGAAG
rnacentral:rRNA from 1 species